rnacentral:rRNA from 1 species
GAUGAACGCUGACAGAAUGCUUAACACAUGCAAGUCUUUGGCGAAGCUGUGCUUGCACAGCCUAGCCAAGGCGGACGGGUGAGUAACGCGUAAGGGACUUGCCCUGCAGUCAGGGAUAACAGACGGAAACGACUGAUAAAACCUGGUAAAGUCAGGCGGACUCAUGUCCAGCCUGAUGAAAAGGAAUGCUGCAGGAGAGCCUUGCGUCCUAUUAGCUUGUUGGUGGGGUAACGGCCCACCAAGGCGAUGAUAGGUAGCCGGCCUGAGAGGGUGGACGGCCACAAGGGGACUGAGAUACGGCCCUUACUCCUACGGGAGGCAGCAGUGGGGAAUAUUGGACAAUGGGGGCAACCCUGAUCCAGCAAUUCUGUGUGCACGAUGAAGGUCUUCGGAUUGUAAAGUGCUUUCAGCAGGGAAGAAAA